GGGUGUUGGGGAGGUUUUUUGGGGGGGAGGGGGAGCGUGUGGUAGAAGUUAGUAGGGAUUUAUUUGGUUCCUAUUUUAUUUUCAUGGUAGUACAGAAUUGGGAAGAUCAUGAGUGAUCGUACAUUCCAGCACAGUAGUUGGGGAAAUACACUUAAACGAUUGUUUGCAGACCUCCAUGAUAUCAGAGAAGAAGAAGAUAGCUAGCUAGUGACCGUAGACGGAAGUCGAGGAGUAAAGUCGGGCGAGGUGCAUCUGUGACAGCCGGAAGUCGGACACUAAUGUGGUUUUCUAACAGCAAGGCUCAGAUCAACAUGGCAGUGUUGGUUGAUUUAACCUGAGCCCUAGGACCAUGCCUUAGGACUACUUGGCCUGAUGACUCCUUGCUGUCUCCAGUCCACCUGGUCGUGCUGCUGCUCCAGUUUCAACUGUUCUGCCUGUGGCUAUGAAACCCUGACCUUUUCACCGGACAUGCUACCUUGUCCCAGACCUGCUGUUUUCAACUCUCUAGAGGCAGCAGGAGCUGUAAAGAUACUCUGAAUGAUUGGCUAUGAAAUGCCAACUGACAUUUAUUCCUGAGGUGUUGACCUGUUGCACCCACUACAACCACUGUGAUAAUUAUUAUUUGACCCUGCUGGUCAUCUAUGAACAUUUGAACAUCUUGGCCAUGUUCUGUUAUAAUCUCCACCCGGCACAGCAAGAAGAGGACUGGCCACCCCUCAUAGCAUGGUUUCUCUCUAGGUUUAUUGCUAGGUUCUGGCCUUUCUAGGGAGUAUUUCCUAGCCACCAUGCUUCUACACCUACAUUGCUUGCUGUUUGGGGUUUUAGGCUGGGUUUCUGUGUAACAAUUUGUGACAUCAGCUGAUGUAAGAAGGGCUUUAUAAAUACCUUUGAUUGAUUGAGUGUU